UGCCAGACUCCUACGGGAGGCAGCAGUGGGGAAUAUUGGACAAUGGGGGAAACCCUGAUGCAGCGACGCCGCGUGAGCGAUGAAGUAUUUCGGUAUGUAAAGCUCUAUCAGCAGGGAAGAAAAUGACGGUACCUGACUAAGAAGCCCCGGCUAACUACGUGCCAGCAGCCGCGGUAAUACGUAGGGGGCAAGCGUUAUCCGGAUUUACUGGGUGUAAAGGGAGCGUAGACGGCUGUGCAAGCCAGAUGUGAAAGCCCGGGGCUCAACCCCGGGACUGCAUUUGGAACUGUGUGGCUGGAGUGUCGGAGAGGCAGGCGGAAUUCCUAGUGUAGCGGUGAAAUGCGUAGAUAUUAGGAGGAACACCAGUGGCGAAGGCGGCCUGCUGGACGAUGACUGACGUUGAGGCUCGAAAGCGUGGGGAGCAAACAGGAUUAGAUACCCCAGUA
rnacentral:rRNA from 1 species